GAGGAAAGUCCGGGCUCCACAGGGCAGGGCGGUGGGUAACACCCACCCGGGGCGACCCGCGGGACAGUGCCACAGAGAACAGACCGCCGGCGCCGGUCACGGCCGCCGGUAAGGGUGAAACGGUGCGGUAAGAGCGCACCAGCGCCCAGGGUGACCUGGGCGGCUCGGUAAACCCCGCCCGGAGCAAGGUCAGAAGGCCCGCGGCCCGCAAGGGCCACGGGCCGCGCAGGCGUUCGAGGGCGGCCCGCCCGAGCCUGCGGGUAGGCCGCUGGAGGCUGCCGGCAACGGCAGCCGUAGAGAGAUGGCCGCCACCGGGGCGCCGCAAGGCUCCCCGCCUACAGAACCCGGCUUA
rnacentral:RNase_P_RNA from 1 species